rnacentral:lncRNA from 1 species
UAUGAGGUUUAUAACAAAGUUUUCUUUUUAGAGAAAUAUAACAUGCUAGCUACUCGUUUCGUUUACUUCUUUUAAAAAUAAAUUUAGCUGAAAAUAUAAAUUAACUAGGAUUCGAAUUUAAGAUAUUAGACAGUAGAUUAAAAAAAUAUAUAAUUUAUUUAUCAUAAAUUUAAAAAAAAUAUAUAAUUUAUUUUCUAGUUUUUAAAAAAGUAACUUUAUCUUUCAUAUUUUUUUAAAAAAAAUCUGUUAUAUUCUAACUUAAAUUUAUAUAGUCGAUCGAUAACGACAAUAAUUACAUAGUUUUUGUUUUUGUUAUACAAAUUGAGUUUAAAUAGUGAAUUAAAUUUAAUUUUGGAUAUUAAAUUUGAAUUAACAAUAAACAAAUUUCAGUUAAAGUGAAUUAAAAUUAAAAUUUAAAAUUUGAAUUAAAGUGAAUUAAAAUU